rnacentral:lncRNA from 1 species
GUGGCGGCGGCGGCACAGCGGCCCAGCGGCGGCGGUUAGCUCACGCAUUUCUUCUUCCUGUACCCCUCUCUCACACCUCUGGCAGUUCUUCUCUCUCAAGCAUCAGGUCGUGUACUGGGGCAAGCAUCAGGUAAAUCCCUCUCCCCUACUCUUACAUCACUGGUUGUUGUUUUGUCAUGUACUUAAUAGUCUGCAAUGUGUGCCUCUGCAGGAUGCUAGGACAUGUUGUUAUUUCAAUUGGAUUGACAAGCCAUGGGAGGGGAGGGAAUGGACUAUCAUUGCUGAACUUGCUAACAAGAAUGAGGUGAUGGAGAAGAAGAUAAUGCAGACUGGAGAAGAAGAUGAUUGGAAGGAUGCAUAAAGAUCAGUUACAAUCUAGUUAGAGAUAGGAUGAUUAUGCUUG